AUAAUCAUUUUCUAGGGUUCCGCAGAUACAAGUAAGUAGCUAUCUGGACUGGACCAAGAGAAAAUGCACGGUUCAUUACGUGUACACGGAGGGAUAAAAGCCCGGGAGGA
rnacentral:sRNA from 1 species